CCUAUGGAGAGUACAAGAACUUGUGAGUAGUAUUUGAAGUUAUUUAGUACAAAAGCAUACUCUAAGAAGUAGGAA
ncrna:unclassified sequences RAGATH-18 RNA